rnacentral:lncRNA from 1 species
AUUGUAUAAAAAGUCCAAAUACAAUGUCGUACACAUGAAACUUAUAAAAUCAAGUGCCAGUGAGGAUGCAGAGCAGCUGUAGCUCUUACAUAUUUCUAGUCUUAGUACACACUUAAAAAUUACUUUGGAAAGGAGUUCCCGUCGUGGCUCAGCAGUUAGAGAACCCGACUAACAUUCAUGAGGAUGUAGGUUCAAUCCCUGGCCUUACUCAGUGGGUUUAGGAUCCAGCGUUGCCGUGAGCUGUGGUGUAGGUCGCAGAUACAGCUUGAAUCCAGUGUUGCUGUGGCUAUGGCGUAGGCUGGUGGCUACAGUUCUGAUAGGACCCCUAGCCUGGGAACCUCCGUAUGCCUCAGGUGUGGCCCUAAAAGACAAAAAGACCAAAAAAAAAUUUACUUUGGAAAAUGGUUUGCCAAUAUCUGAUAAAGCUGAAUGUUCACCACUCUAUGACACAGCAUUCCUUUCCUAGUUAUAUAUCCAACAAAAAUCUAUAUACACGUGAACCAUUAUUUGUAUUAGCCCUAAACUGAGAACAAUGCACACAUCCAUCAACAAUAGAAUGGAUAAAUAAAUUAAGGUAUUUUCACAUACUGGGAUAAUAGACAACAAUGAAAAUGAAUAAACUACUGCUACCUGGAACAGUUUGGAUGAAUUCCACCAACAUAAUGUUGAAAGAAGCCAGAUUGCAAAGAGUACAUACUAUGUGAUCCUAUUUCUCAAAGCUCAAACACAGUCAAAUUCAGUCCAUAAUGUGACUGAAGUUAGAGUAAUGGUAACUUUAGGGGAAGAAGAGGUGGUAGUGAGUGGGAGGCAGUAAAAGGGGAGCUUCUGAGGGGCUGAUAAUAUUCUAACUGUGGAUCUGAGUGCUGAUGGUGAGCAUGUUCACUUUGGAAAAAUUAGUCAAGUAUUUUCUGUAUGAUGUAUUAUAUUCAAAUGAAGUUUUAUUAAAACAAAAAUUAAAAAUUAAAAAACUAUUUAAAGAAUUAAGAUUUCAACAUUUUUCCUUUCUUCUAUUGGAUCUUAAGGAUUAGUGAGAUCAGAGAUGAUAAAAAGGCAAUAUAUUUUAUUUUGAAUUACACAGUUAGGCAUCCAAAUUACCUAGAUGGGUAAUUAUUUUGUGUAUAUGAUAUAUAAUGGAUAUAUACAUUUAAUAUAACAUUUAUGGAACAGUUACAGUUUUCCUAUUUUUCUUAUUUAAUUCUCACACAAAAAUACAUAUAUAGCAGGGAGGUCAGAUUGUCUCGAUUUUACAGAUGAGAAAAUUAAGGCCCAAAGAGGUUAAGGGAUAUACCCAAGGCUACCAACUAGAAUUUGUAUGUAAUUAAAAGCAUACGUACAGGCAACUGGCUGAAGGUGUGUAAUUCAUAAUAUGCGUUUUUAUCUUGCUUUACAGUUUAGAAAUCCCAGGCAGAUUUAAGAGCUAAGAUCCUUGGGUGCAGCUCUUCCCCUUUCCUUAUACAGCCAGAUUGCACAGUCUUUCCAUGUUGCAGUUGAUACCUACUAAUAGACUCUGGCUGAACACGGCAUUUAUCUCCUUCUCAUUUGUACCACACAAAUGAAGUUAAAAUAAUGGCACUUUGUUGGCACAGAGGAAAGACAGUUCCAAAGUGUCCCACUUUCUCUCUUCUAUUGAGUGUUCAGAGUUGAUGCAAAAUAACAAAUGUUCUGGCCCACUUUGAGAACAUAGCCUGCUCGGGUAGUAAAGACUAGGACUUAUCCUUCCAGCAAGUGCUUAGUCACGAGGCCUCCCAUCCUGCAUGGACCCUUGGAGCCCCAGCUCCUGGGAGAGUCCUGGAGUGACCAUCUAUGAGGGUGAAGAAAGAAGGGGAGACUGAACUGGUGACUGGGUGGAAGUUCCUGCUGAGGCCCUGAAGGAGACUGUGGGAAUGAGGCUGGACCAUAGCUGGAAGACCUGGUUGAAGUCUUCACUUUGGUAUUCACUAACCAUGGGAACCAGAGCAAGCCACAACCCAUAUCAUCAUGCAGUGUCAUACAAAGAGCACUGGACUUGGAGCCAGACAAACUAAGUUUGAAUUUCGACUGGGCAUCUUACUUACUAGCUGUGUAACCUUGGUUCGAUGUGUCACCAUUUCUGGAUCUCAUCUGUUAACUGAAGGGACUGUUUGAAUGCUCUUAGGGAGCCAUUUCCUGCUAGUUCAUAUUACCUUCUCCAAGGACCCAUAUUUCCAUCUGUGCAGUGGGGAAACUGAUUCCUGCCAGUUUAUCGGGUUGUUGAGGGCAACAGGAGCAGGCAGAGGUAGGCACCUGGGAGGUUUACUUGGUGUGAAAUUGAGAGCUGUUCCCUAGAUUCUUAGCAGCAUAACCAUCAAACCCACUUUCUUUUAUGGUCUCUUUGAUAGGCUGCAUUUUCUUGAAACCAUUAUCUUACAUUAGCUGUCUUUUUAAGGUCUGUUCAUCCCUUAGUUAAAAGGCAAUUCAAUUGUCACAUGGAACCAGCAGAACAGCAUUCCACUGGCUACCAGAGGGAGGGAGGGAGAAGUUCUUUUGUGUUCCAGUUCUGCCUACUCUCUCCUCUUCCACUGCUCCACCAUCUCAGGCCUAAGCAGCAGGGAGUAGUCCUGCUCCAUAACAUCCAGACACUGAGGUUUACUGGAUUGUCUGGGGAGACAGGAAAGAACAAAACCUUCCCCCCUGCCCCACACCCCCAGCUGCCCCCGUUGCUCGGUGCCAGAACUCCAUUUUAGGAGAGGCUAGAACACUCAGGGAGGUGGGAAGAAGAGAUGCUGGCCUCAGCGGUCUCCCUCUGUUGGGUUUGUAUGGCUUCAGGCAUAUCCACCCACUUGUGGUCACUCUGAGUGGUAGAGGUCUUAUAGGAUCUCUGUCUGAUGGUGAUCUCCAGAGUAAGGCAAGGCCCUUCCUCUGAACUCGAAGGAAUCAUUAGAUUGAAAUCUGUAACUCUGGGAUGUGUGUCUGUUUUAAAAGAGGUAGAGCGCCCCCCAAAGGCAAGCAUAUUAAUUGCAGAAGAGGUCAGAGCUUCAGGAGGGCAGACAAAAGGCUAGGCUGUGAGGUCCAUGCUCCAUACAUGGAGAGUGUCCCAUCAGAGUCCUCAGAGGCUCUGUUGAGUUGAAUAGUGUCCCUCAAAACUUCAUAUCCACCUGGAUCCUCAGGUGUUUGGAAAUAGGGUGUUUGCAGAUGAAAAUAGUUAAGAUAAGGUCAUGUUGGUUUAGGGUAAGCACUAAUCCCAUGACUGGUAUCCUUUUAACAAGAGGGAAAUUUGGACAGAGAAAAACAGAAACAUGUGAGGUCAGGGGCAGGAAUUGGAGUGGUACAACUACAAGUCAAGACAUACCAAGGAUUGCUGGUAACCACCAGAAGCUGGGAAGAGGCAAGAAGCGUUCUUCCCUGGAUCCUGCAGAGGGAGCACAACCCUGCCAACACCUUGAUUUUGGACAUUUAGCCUCUAUAAAUGUGAGAGAAGAAAUUUCUGUCGUGCUUUGUUAUGACAAUCCUGGAAAACUAAUAAUAGGGUCGAAGCUUUGAUUCUUCUUGUGACCCUGCCUAUAGCUUAGCCCAUGCUUCUCCCACCCUAUGCUGAACGCUAAAGUUCAUUUCACCAGCUUUUCAGACAGGUGUAAAUUUGUCUCCCAAAGUCUUGCUUCCAGAGGAGAAAGUCUAUCAGCCAAAUGUGAACCAGCCAACACCAUAUCAUGGCUCUUUGGACCUACAUGAAAAGGGACUGUCUUGUCUCCCAUCUGCUGCCCACUUUGCACUCAUCCUUGCAGAUCUUGGUAGAAUCUCAAGGCUCAUAUAGACCUUAAAGAUCCCUGGUCCCCACUGAGUACCUGGCUUCUCUGGGCAAUAUCCCUAGCAAGAGGUUACUUGCCUCCUGCUUGGAUCCUCCUGGAAUCUUCAUAAAGUCAUAUUGCUCCUUAAUUCUUCAAUCCCACAAAUAUCAUUGAUUAUCUGUGUGCCUAGCUCUGUGCAGUGAUCAGACAGUCCCUGCUCCCAUGAAGCUUAAAUUCCAGUGGAGAUUUGACCCUUGAAAACCCUCCUUUUUUAUUUUCUUUUUAUUUAUUUUCAAUUUUUUAAGUUAAAGUAUAAUUGUGUUACAAUGUUGUAUCAAUUUCUGCUGUAUAGCAGAGUGACCCAGUCAUACAUGUAUAUAUAUUCUUUUUCACAUAUUAUCUCCCAUCAUCUCUAUCACAAGAGAUUGGAUGUAUUUCCCUGUGCUAUAUAGUAGGACCUCAUUGCUCAUCCAUUCUAAGUGUAAUAGCUUGCAUCUACUAACCCAAACGCCCUGUCCAACCCAAUCCCUCUCCCUCCCCCUCCCCCUUGGCAUCCACAAGUCUGUAAGUUUUAGAAAACUCUUCUUUUUUGUCCCCUGAUCUCCCACCAAGGUGGGCCUUCUUGGUCUAGCUAGGUGGGGGUAGUGGUGGUGAACCCACAACACUUCCUCUCAGCUGGGCAUAUGCUGCUCUCACAUCUAGACUGAUGCAGGCAUCAGCAAAGGGAAGACUGUUGAAAUGUCACCUUCCUCCCUUCUGGUCAGCUUGGAUUGCUGUAAUGGUCCCCAAAUCCAUUUUACAAGGCAAUUGGUAUUUAAAACAUUGUAACCUCAAGAGAUUGGCAAAUUCCAUGCUUUAUUUAUCUCCAAUCCAAUUAAGUCUCCGAGACAUGUACUGGAGGGAAACAUUGCUUUUAUUCUAUGGCACACAGUUGGAUUCAUUAACCAAUGAGCCACUAUGGGAUCUCCAGCAUUCUCAUUUUCAUAACAGAGGAAACUAAAUUAAAAAUAGCUAGGGAGUUCCCUUCGUGGCUCAGUGGUAAUGAACCAUGAGGACACGGGUUCGAUCCCUGGCCUUGCUCAGUGGGUUAAGGAUCCAGUGUUCCUUUGAGCUGUAGGGUAGGUCACAGGCACAGCUCGGAUCUGGCAUUGCUAUGAUUGUGGCAUAGGCUGGCAGCUGUAGCUCUAAUUCGACCCCUGGCCUGGGAAUUUCCAUAUGCCGCAAGUGUGGCCCUAAAAAGCAAAAAAAA